AGAGUUUGAUCAUGGCUCAGAGUGAACGCUGGCGGCGUGCUUAACACAUGCAAGUCGAACGGUAACAGAUAGAAGCUUGCUUCUAUGCUGACGAGUGGCGCACGGGUGAGUAAUAUAUAGGUAAUGUGCCCCGCAGACCGGGAUAGCCACUGGAAACGGUGAUUAAUACUGGAUACUCCUUCUUCUUUUAAGAGAGGUUGGGAAAUGGAUUCCGCUGCGGGAUCGGCCUAUAUCCUAUCAGGUAGUUGGUGAGGUAAGAGCUCACCAAGCCAAUGACGGGUAGCGGGUUUGAGAGGAUGAUCCGCCACACUGGUACUGAGACACGGACCAGACUCCUACGGGAGGCAGCAGUGAGGAAUAUUGCACAAUGGGGGAAACCCUGAUGCAGCAACGCCGCGUGGAGGAUGACGCAUUUCGGUGUGUAAACUCCUUUUAUAUGUCAAGAAAAUGACGGUAGCAUAUGAAUAAGCACCGGCUAACUCCGUGCCAGCAGCCGCGGUAAUACGGAGGGUGCAAGCGUUACUCGGAAUCACUGGGCGUAAAGGACGCGUAGGCGGGAUAGUAAGUCUGAUGUGAAAUCCUAUGGCUCAACCAUAGAACUGCAUUGGAAACUGCUGACCUAGAGUAUGGGAGGGGGAGAUGGAAUUAGUGGUGUAGGGGUAAAAUCCGUAGAUAUCACUAGGAAUACCGAAAGCGAAGGCGAUCUCCUGGAACAUAACUGACGCUAAAGGCGUGAAAGCGGUGGGGAGCAAACAGGAUUAGAUACCCUGGUAGUCCACGCCCUAAACGAUGAACACUAGUCGUCGGGAUGCUGUCAUCUCGGUGAUGCACUUAACAGAU
rnacentral:rRNA from 1 species